GCGGCCGCUCUGUUUGAUCCUGCCGGAGGUCACUGCUAUCGGUGUUCGAUUAAGCCAUGCGAGUCGAGAGGCGUUAUGGCCUCGGCGGACUGCUCAGUAACACGUGGGUAACCUACCCGAGAGUCCGGGAUAACCCCGGGAAACUGGGGAUAAUACCGGAUAGAUCAAACAGGCUGGAAGGCGGUUUGGUUGAAACUUCCGGGGCUUUUGGAUGGGUCUGCGGCUGAUUAGGUUGUUGCCGGUGUAACGUACCGUCAAGCCUGUAAUCAGUACGGGUUGUGGGAGCGGGAGCCCGGAGAUGGAUUCUGAGACACGAAUCCAGGCCCUACGGGGCGCAGCAGGCGCGAAAACUCUACAAUGCAGGCAACUGCGACAGGGGAACACCGAGUGAUCCUCAUAUUGGGGGUCUGUCCACCCGCCUAAAAAGCGGGUGUUAGCAAGGGCCGGGCAAGACCGGUGCCAGCCGCCGCGGUAAUACCGGCGGCUCGAGUGGUGGCCGAUAUUAUUGAGUCUAAAGGGUCCGUAGCCGGCUUUGCAAGUCUCUCGGGAAAUCCAGCGGCUUAACCAUUGGUCGUCCGGGGGGUACUACAUUGCUCGGGACUGGGAGAGGCGAGAGGUACUCAGGGGGUAGGAGUGAAAUCCUGUAAUCCUCUGGGGACCACCGGUGGCGAAGGCGUCUCGCCAGAACAGGUCCGACGGUGAGGGACGAAAGCUAGGGGCACGAACCGGAUUAGAUACCCGGGUAGUCCUAGCCGUAAACGAUGCUCGCUAGGUGUCACAACAGUCGUGAACUGUUGUGGUGCCGUAGGGAAGCCGUGAAGCGAGCCACUUGGGAAGUACGACCGCAAGGUUGAAACUUAAAGGAAUUGGCGGGGGAGCACCACAACGGGUGAAGCCUGCGGUUUAAUUGGACUCAACGCCGGGAAGCUUACCGGGAUCGACAGUUGUAAGAAGGCCAGGCUGAAGACCUUGCCGGACUAUCUGAGAGGAGGUGCAUGGCCGCCAUCAGUUCGUACCGUGAGGCGUCCUGUUAAGUCAGGCAACGAGCGAGACCC
rnacentral:rRNA from 1 species